rnacentral:ncRNA from 2 species
CUAUUUAAUAUAAUUGUCGGUUCUGAUGGGGAGCAGCCAUCAGACGUAAGGGGGAAAGUCCAGUGUAAAUCUGGCGCUGUCCCGCAACUGUAAUGAGAGUUUCUUAUUCUCUGAGUCAGGAUGCCCGCCGAUAGUUUUCGAUGUUG